rnacentral:rRNA from 1 species
GAUGAACGCUGGCGGCGUGCCUAAUACAUGCAAGUCGAGCGAACAGACGAGGAGCUUGCUCCUCUGACGUUAGCGGCGGACGGGUGAGUAACACGUGGAUAACCUACCUAUAAGACUGGGAUAACUUCGGGAAACCGGAGCUAAUACCGGAUAUUAUAUUGAACCGCAUGGUUCAAUAGUGUAAGACGGUUUUGCUGUCACUUAUAGAUGGAUCCGCGCCGCAUUAGCUAGUUGGUAAGGUAACGGCUUACCAAGGCAACGAUGCGUAGCCGACCUGAGAGGGUGAUCGGCCACACUGGAACUGAGACACGGUCCAGACUCCUACGGGAGGCAGCAGUAGGGAAUCUUCCGCAAUGGGCGAAAGCCUGACGGAGCAACGCCGCGUGAGUGAUGAAGGUCUUCGGAUCGUAAAACUCUGUUAUUAGGGAAGAACAAAUGUGUAAGUAACUAUGCACGACUUGACGGUACCUAAUCAGAAAGCCACGGCUAACUACGUG